rnacentral:rRNA from 1 species
UACGUAGGGUGCAAGCGUUAAUCGGAAUUACUGGGCGUAAAGCGUGCGCAGGCGGUCUUGCAAGACAGAUGUGAAAUCCCCGGGCUCAACCUGGGAACUGCAUUUGUGACUGCAAGGCUGGAGUACGGUAGAGGGGGAUGGAAUUCCGCGUGUAGCAGUGAAAUGCGUAGAUAUGUGGAGGAACACCGAUGGCGAAGGCAGCCCCCUGGGUUAACACUGACGCUCAGGCACGAAAGCGUGGGGAGCAAACAGG